GAUAGCAGCUUGGAUCAUACUGGCUGCUUUUAAAUAGAUUUCAAGAGAGAAACAGAAGGCCAAAGAAGAAAUGUGCAAUGUUUCAGACAUGUAAAUUCGGGAUGCUGAAGAAGUCAGGGAAAAAAAAAGCCAGGUGCUUUGAAAAGGAACAACAGGAAAGACUUCCAGAGUGAAUCUCAAGAAUAAGCAAAAUUCCUCCAUCGCAAGCAAAAAUGUGUGAAGCCUGUGGAAGACUAUUGAAGAAGGUGUGGGAUUCAGUGCUGAGAGAUGAUACUCCAAUCUUAGUAAGAAAAACUAUCAGUUGGAAGAUCAGCCAUCAUCCAUGAGGUUUCUUCCUGAAUUUGAUGGGACACACAACUGGACAAAGUGCAGAGAGUAAAACAUCUUGGAACAAACAGUCCUAAAUGGGAAUUUCCAUCAAAUUUCUACUAUUAGGGUUCAAUUAACUCUAUUGAAGAGAAGGCAGAAAAAUUAUUAAAACCAGAGGAGAUGGACUACACCAAGGAAACAGUGCCUCCUAGACACAACAGGACUGAUGAUACUCAUAUGAACACCCAUAUGUGCUGACACAUAUCAGUAUGUGUUAGUAUGCAAAUGAUCUGCAUAGAUCUAAUCAAUAAGAGAUUCCAGCACUGAAGAGGUGAUGAUGAACAAGAGUUCCCAACUCUAACCAAGAAGCUAUCUUUAGUGAACAUCAAAAGCACAGAAAAUAUGUCUUCUCCAAUGGAGUCUCACAAUGUAUAUUAAUCACAAUUAAGGGUAGGUCCCAUAACCAGCAUGGCCAACUCAAAACAAACUCAAUGAUGUUAUUGUAGGUAUUUUUUCUCAUAUUGCAUUAUUCAGGCUUUUAUUUUUUAGC